rnacentral:rRNA from 1 species
CCUACGGUGGCUGCAGUGGGGAAUAUUGCACAAUGGGCGCAAGCCUGAUGCAGCCAUGCCGCGUGUGUGAAGAAGGCCUUCGGGUUGUAAAGCACUUUCAGCGGGGAGGAAGGCGUUAAGGUUAAUAACCUUGUCGAUUGACGUUACCCGCAGAAGAAGCACCGGCUAACUCCGUGCCAGCAGCCGCGGUAAUACGGAGGGUGCAAGCGUUAAUCGGAAUUACUGGGCGUAAAGCGCACGCAGGCGGUCUGUCAAGUCGGAUGUGAAAUCCCCGGGCUCAACCUGGGAACUGCAUUCGAAACUGGCAGGCUAGAGUCUUGUAGAGGGGGGUAGAAUUCCAGGUGUAGCGGUGAAAUGCGUAGAGAUCUGGAGGAAUACCGGUGGCGAAGGCGGCCCCCUGGGCAAAGACUGACGCUCAGGUGCGAAAGCGUGGGGAGCAAACAGGAUUAGAUACCCGAGUAGUC